rnacentral:tRNA from 1 species
GGCGGGGUCAGCUAACGAAGCUUUCGGGCCCAUACCCCGGACAUGACGGUUAAACUCCUUCCCCCACCA